rnacentral:rRNA from 1 species
UACGAGGGGCGCAAGUGUUGUUCGGAAUCACUGGGCGUAAAGGGAGCGUAGGCGGGCUUUUAAGUUAGGUGUUUAAUCCCGGGGCCCAACCCCGGACCGGCACCUAAAACGUGGGAGUCUUGAAUAGUGGAGAGGUCAGGUGGAAGUUGGGGGUGUAGCGGUGGAAUGCGUAGAUAUCUGGAGGAACACCGGUGGCGAAGGCGGCAUCCUGGACCGAGAUUGACGCUGAUGCGGCGAAAGCCAGGGGAGGCAAAACGGG